GUUCCAACUAAGCUUUGGUCUACGGGGCCAGAUGACAUUGGACGCCUACGAGUCCCACCUGUGGUGGUUACACUAAUUAAAGGAGCUAAUCCACCAUGAAGACCAUAGUACCCAUUGAAACCUGCACAAGCUCUCGCCAUCUCCAAACAAGUUGAUAGCCUGUUGGCAAAAGGUGCACUAGUCAAGUGUGUAUCUCAGUGUAACACCCCUCUGUUUCCAGUAAAGAAGAAAACUGAAAAAGGUCAACCAGACCAAUACCGUAUGGUCCAGGACCUCCGCGCUGUUAAUGAGGUC